rnacentral:rRNA from 1 species
GAUGAACGCUAGCGACAGGCUUAACACAUGCAAGUCGAGGGGCAGCAUAGAAGUAGCAAUACUUUGGUGGCGACCGGCGCACGGGUGAGUAACGCGUAUGCAACCUACCUAUCAGAGGGGAAUAACCCGGCGAAAGUCGGACUAAUACCGCAUAAAACAGGGGCACCGCAUGGUGAUAUUUGUUAAAGAAAUUCGCUGAUAGAUGGGCAUGCGUUCCAUUAGGUAGUUGGUGAGGUAACGGCUCACCAAGCCGACGAUGGAUAGGGGAACUGAGAGGUUGGUCCCCCACACUGGUACUGAGACACGGACCAGACUCCUACGGGAGGCAGCAGUGAGGAAUAUUGGUCAAUGGGCGGGAGCCUGAACCAGCCAAGUCGCGUGAAGGAAGAAGGAUCUAUGGUUCGUAAACUUCUUUUGCAGGGGAAUAAAGUGCAGGACGUGUCCUGUUUUGUAUGUACCCUGAGAAUAGGGAUCGGCUAACUCCGUGCCAGCAGCCGCCGCUGUAA